GGCACAAACUUGAACUAGAAUAGUUGUAUGGUCAGUUGAUCCUACUAAUAUACUCUGCUUCAAGUUUGUGCUC
rnacentral:pre_miRNA from 1 species